GAUGAAUGCUGGCGGCGCGCCUAACACAUGCAAGUCGAGCGGUAACAUGGACUUCGGUCUGAUGACGAGCGGCGGACGGCUGAGUAACGCGUGGGAACAUGCCCCAAAGUGAGGAAUAACUGCCCGAAAGGGUAGCUAAUGCCGCAUAUGAUCUUCGGAUUAAAGGAUUUAUCCGCUUUGGGAGUGGCCCGCGUUCGAUUAGGUAGUUGGUGAGGUAAAGGCUCACCAAGCCUACGAUCGAUAACUGGUCUAAGAGGAUGAUCAGUCAGACUGGAACUGAGACACGGUCCAUACUCCUACGGGAGGCAGCAGUGAGGAAUCUUCCACAAUGGGCGAAAGCCUGAUGGAGCGACGCCGCGUGCAGGAUGAAGGCCUUCGGGUUGUAAACUGCUUUUAUAAGUGAAGAAUAUGACGGUAACGUAUGAAUAAGCACCGGCUAACUACGUGCCAGCCGCCGCGGUA
rnacentral:rRNA from 1 species